rnacentral:rRNA from 1 species
UACGUAGGGUGCAAGCGUUAAUCGGAAUUACUGGGCGUAAAGCGUGCGCAGGCGGUUAUGUAAGACAGAUGUGAAAUGCCCGGGCUUAACCUGGGAACUGCAUUUGUGACUGCAUGGCUAGAGUGUGUCAGAGGGGGGUAGAAUUCCAUGUGUAGCAGUGAAAUGCGUAGAUAUGUGGAGGAAUACCGAUGGCGAAGGCAGCCCCCUGGGAUAACACUGACGCUCAUGCACGAAAGCGUGGGGAGCAAACAGG